rnacentral:lncRNA from 1 species
ACACAUCCACUCCAAACAACACCAAAACCCUAGUAGGGGCCUAUCUUUGUUAUUAAUUGUAGGGCUACCUAAUCUUUGGGAGUUCUUUGAGGCUCUGUGCAACCCUGCAACACACUGAAAACUAGUACUAUUUGACUGCAACUACUUACCUGAAUUUAUUACGUAAUUCAAAGCCAAUUUCAAUUACAAGAGUUAGCUUCCAAUUAUAUUGAGCAUAUAUCUUGCUAUUUUAAAUUACUUUCAUGCAUUAGGUCUACUUAGGAACCUCUAUAGUUGGUAGGAUCAUACAUUUUGUCAUUCAUUUUAUGCAUCUACGUAGUGGUCGUGUCGCAUCUCAUCCUGAGUCCCAAUUAGGUAUGGAUUCCAAAAUCGAACCUCUAUUAAAAGCUAUUCAAGACACUAAUGCUCAAGUCCAAAACAACAAUGCCCAAAUUCAUGACCCAACCACAAUGUCCACCCAAGUUAAUGCCCGAUUUGAUUCAAUUGAGGCUUCAC